UCUGUUUGUGUAGGUCAUCGUUUACAGUAAGCUGCAUCGGAAGAAAAGUGUGAAAACAACAUCUUAACUUCCUCUUUUUGGUUUUCCGCGGUCAUCUUUGACCAUCUGUAACAUGUGUAUUUAAAUUAGCAUCAGUGGGUGUGAUGUGUGAUCCUGUAGCUGAAUGUUUACCGUAUAUGGAGAUGACAUUCAGCUGUUUGUUUCAGAGACAACCCCUCUCUGUCGGAGGAUAUAAGACUGAGAGAGGAUUUCAUUUCUCUGUCUGAACAUUCUUCAGAUUUGCAUCGUGUCAGAGUUCUGCUCCUCUUUUUUUUCAUCUUCAGACUUUUAGAUUUUAGAUUUCAACAUUUUUGGGCCUUCAUUCCUGAAACUUUCUCCACCAGCUCUUCGGUAUCCCUCCUGCUGCUGACUCUAGAACUCCUGUCAUUCAGGUAUCCCUCCUGUUGCUGACUCUAGAACUCAUCUCUCUCCUAUCAUUCAG